rnacentral:rRNA from 1 species
CUCCUGGGAAGUCCUCGUGUUGCACCCCUCUCUUUUUCUUCGCGUUUUUUUCGUUGGGGUUGUCGUUUGCGGCGGUCCAGCACGCUCGCUCUGCAUGCACCCCUUUGAUCUUCCCUGCAUUUAUUUUUUUUCUCGCUGGGCUUAUCGUGUACGUCGGUCCAGCACGCUCGCUUUGGAGGCUUAGCCCGCCCCAGGCCAAAAGCACGAGCCGCAGAUCUCGUUUCGGGUGCUAAAGCGUCGCGGGGACGUCGAAAUGCGCGGAAGCCCCUCGGGCUGCACCUCUCCGGCGGUAAGGUGCAUUGUUGCGUUCGGAUCCUUUUAUAAGAAUUAAACGCGCUUAUGCUGAUGGGUGCGAUCAUACCAACACUAAUGCACCGGA